CGGCAUGCCCUUCACAUGCAAGGUCGGAACGGGCAGCGCGGGGAGCAAUCCUGGUCGGCGUAGUGGCUAACGGAUAAGUAAUACAUCGGAACGUGCCCAAUCGGUGGGGGAUAACGCAGCGAAAGCUGUGCUAAUACCGCAUACGAUCUACGGAUGAAAGCAGGGGAUCGCAAGACCUUGCGCGAAUGGAGCGGCCGAUGGCAGAUUAGGUAGUUGGUGAGGUAAAGGCUCACCAAGCCUUCGAUCUGUAGCUGGUCUGAGAGGACGACCAGCCACACUGGGACUGAGACACGGCCCAGACUCCUACGGGAGGCAGCAGUGGGGAAUUUUGGACAAUGGGCGAAAGCCUGAUCCAGCCAUGCCGCGUGCAGGAUGAAGGCCUUCGGGUUGUAAACUGCUUUUGUACCGAACGAAACAGCCUUUUCUAAUAAACAGGGCUAAUGACGUUACCUUCAAGAAUAAGCACCGGCUAACUACAUGCCAGCAGCCGCGGUAAUACGUAAGGUG
rnacentral:rRNA from 1 species